GGGGCGGAUACAAAGUCUUUUGGGGGAAGUGGGGCCGCAGAUUUCCCCCGACCCGAACACAGACUCGUACAGGGCGCGCUUGGGCGCAGCCUCGGAUUUCACGUCGGGCCCGACCUGGCUGUCUUUGGGGAGGAUGAAAAUCGCUUGAACCUGGGAGGCGAAGGUUGCAAUGAGCCGAGAUUGCGCCACUGCACUCCAGCCUGGGCAACAAGAGUGAAACUCCGUCUCAAAAAUGAAAAUAAAAUAAAUAAAAAUGAAACAGCCUUUUAAGAAUGCAAUUAUUAGGCAACGUCUUCAAAAGCCAUGAAAAUGUUCAUAUGCUUUGAUGCACAAAUUGCUUCUAGAAGUUCAUCUUAGGAAAUAUCCUGCUUUACUUGUAGUUUGGUAAAGUUUGGUUUAUUGCAUCCAGGCCACUUGGACAAAUGAAUUUUGUGGUAUAUGUCACAAACUAUGCUGUAGAACUGCAUUUUAUACUGUCUUAGAGACCUCUCUUUGUUCACAGAAGUUUAGAGAAUAAGUAUUUGUGGAAUGGAGAAGAAAGAAGUUCAAUUAGGGUAAAAUCACAUCUUAUCAAUGUUCUAUAGCAAUGUCAGUUACCAUUUAAUGAGUAUCGAUAAUGAUAGUGAAAUAAACGAUAUGUACUUAAAGGGCAAAA